rnacentral:rRNA from 1 species
CCUACGGGAGGCAGCAGUGGGGAAUAUUGCACAAUGGGCGGAAGCCUGAUGCAGCGACGCCGCGUGAGGGGUGACGGCCUUCGGGUUGUAAACCUCUUUCGACAGGGACGAAGCGCAAGUGACGGUACCUGGAGAAGAAGCACCGGCCAACCACGUGCCAGCAGCCGCGGUAAGACGUAGGGUGCGAGCGUUGUCCGGAUUUAUUAGGCGUAAAGAGCUCGUAGGCGGCUCGUCGCGUCGACCGUGAAAACCCGCAGCUUAACUGCGGGCUUGCGGUUGAUACGGGCGGGCUAGAGUUCGGUAGGGGAGACUGGAAUUCCUGGUGUAGCGGUGAAAUGCGCAGAUAUCAGGAGGAACACCGGUGGCGAAGGCGGGUCUCUGGGCCGAUACUGACGCUGAGGAGCGAAAGCGUGGGGAGCGAACAGGAUUAGAUACCCUGGUAGUCCACGCUGUAAACGUUGGGCGCUAGGUGUGGGGGGCCUCUCCGGUUCUCUGUGCCGCAGCUAACGCAUUAAGCGCCCCGCCUGGGGAGUACGGCCGCAAGGCUAAAACUCAAAGGAAUUGACGGGGGCCCGCACAAGCGGCGGAGCAUGCGGAUUAAUUCGAUGCAACGCGAAGAACCUUACCUGGGUUUGACAUGGCCGCAAAACUCGCAGAGAUGCGGGGUCCUUCGGGGGCGGUCACAGGUGGCGCAUGGCUGUCGUCAGCUCGUGUCGUGAGAUGUUGGGUUAAGUCUCGCAACGAGCGCAACCCUUGUCCGAUGUUGCCAGCGGGUUAUGCCGGGGACUCAUCGGAGACUGCCGGGGUCAACUCGGAGGAUGUGGGGAUGACGUCAAGUCAUCAUGCCCCUUAUAUCCAGGGCUUCACGCAUGCUACAUGGCCGGUACAAAGGGCUGCGAUACCGUGAGGUGGAGCGAAUCUCAAAAGCCGGUCUCAGUUCGGAUCGGGGUCUGCACUCGACUCCGUGAAGUCGGAGUCGCUAGUAAUCGCAGAUCAGCCACGCCGCGGUGAAUACGUUUCCCGG